rnacentral:rRNA from 1 species
AACGUAGGAGACAAACGUUAUCCGGAGUUACUGGGCGUAAAGGGCGUGCAGGUGGUCUGUUAAGUCUGGCGUGAAAGCUCCCGGCUAAACCGGGAGAGGUCGUUGGAUACUGGCGGACUAGAGGACGGUAGAGGCGUGUGGAAUUCCGGGUGUAGUGGUGAAAUGCGUAGAGAUCCGGAGGAACACCAGUGGCGAAGGCGACACGCUGGGCCGUACCUGACACUAAGACGCGACAGCAUGGGGAGCGAACGGG